rnacentral:rRNA from 1 species
UACAGAGGGUGCGAGCGUUGUUCGGAAUUACUGGGCGUAAAGGGCGCGUAGGCGGCAAUUCAAGUCAGCUGUGAAAUCUCCGGGCUUAACUCGGAACGGUCAGCUGAUACUGCUUUGCUAGAGUGCGGAAGGGGCAAUCGGAAUUCUCGGUGUAGCGGUGAAAUGCGUAGAUAUCGAGAGGAACACCUGAGGUGAAGACGGGUUGCUGGGCCGACACUGACGCUGACAGCGCGAAAGCCAGGGGAGCAAACGGG